UACGGGGGGGCAAGCGUUGUUCGGAAUUACUGGGCGUAAAGGGCUCGUAGGCGGCCAACUAAGUCAGACGUGAAAUCCCUCGGCUUAACCGGGGAACUGCAUCUGAUACUGGAUGGCUUGAGUUCGGGAGAGGGAUGCGGAAUUCCAGGUGUAGCGGUGAAAUGCGUAGAUAUUGGGAGGAACACCAGUGGCGAAGGCGGCUACCUGGACCGGUUCUGACGCUGAUGCGCGAAAGCGUGGGUAGCAAACAGG
rnacentral:rRNA from 1 species